GGUAUCUGUGGAGAUCUAAGGGGGAGGCCUAUGUUUAGUAGUGGACGUCCUAUGGCUGAGAUGAUGAUGAUGUUAAUAUGUUCACUACUUGAGUAAUUAACACUGAAUAUAAAUACAAAGACAUUCAUUAAGUCCCUCUAGUUUCGCUCUUGUCGCUUAUUUGUGAACAAAGUGAAAUACUUUUAUUUUUAUAGUUACGUUAGAAAUAUGGCUGGAUUUUGUACCAACCUAGAUCUUUUUGUGUGUGUGAUUUGACAAAUUAUAUGUUUCUAUAUGAACGUAUAAUUUCUGUUUUGAAUACCACAGUUUCUGAAGAAGACAAAAACCUAAUCAAGGAGUUCUGUCGGCUUUUUUGUGUAAGUCUAAAUAAAAAGUGGAUAGAGUCAAGUAGAAGCCAAAAAAUUUUAUGAAUCGUGUAAAUAAUCGCAUGUGGUUGGAAAAAAACAUCAACUGGCUUGUUUAUGACAGUGUUGACCUGAGAAGUGAGUUGGGCUUUUCGGACGCAGCCUUACCUGAGCCAGUGGAUAUGAAUUCCCAUGUUCCGAAUCCUGCAGUAUGUACUACGGACGCGGUAUCAUCUAUAGAAAACGAGCACAUAAAACCGCUUGAAGACUUAAGUAAUAAGCAAAAAAAAGACUUUCUACUUCCAUAGUAGAAGAAAAUUCCGAGGAAGAGGUACAGCACUGGUACUUAACACAAUCGAAAGACAACGGCAAAAUGAAUCUGGCAAAAGUAGUAGGUACCUUUCCAUAGUAAAGUACUUAGCUCUUCGAAUUUUUUUUCGAAAAUUCGGUGACUCGUUUGUUAUGCACUUAGACGAGCGCACAAACAAAUGAGUUGUCAUUCUCAAUACAGGUGCCACCGAUAACAUGCAGUAAUAACUAAACCUCUUCCAGAAUUACUAGUUGUGAGUACCUAUGUGCCAUUUAAACUAUAUAUAUUAAACUAAGAAGAAGGUGAAAACAGCCAAGUGUGACAGAAAAUAUACUUUGAAUUGAUUUUAAAAGGCAAAAAAUUUCAUAGGAAAUUUUAUUUUUUUACCGAAUGAUUACUCGCGCGGCUGCGGAUGGCUGGCGCUGGUAUAUUUUUUCGUGGAUAGAGAAUGACCCUAGACAAACUAUCAAAUUUAGAAGAAAUUUCACAAGAGCAAAAGUUGUUUGGAAUAUCAUGAAGAAUCACAUAAAAAAAUAUCGAAUCGAUAUUGGAACUUUGUUUCCUAAGUCCACUAAUUUUCAAUAUGGAUCCACUGUGCGCCGCAAUAGUGGCGGUACGGUAAGUCCCCUCUUUGAGGAAUGGCUCGGACGGAAGGAGUAAUGGCACGUUCACCUUCCACGUGAUGCAGGUCCUCACCGGCCAUGGUUUGUCACCACUGGCCACUGUGCUGAUAGACCGGACUCCGGAGAAUGCGGUUUAGCUUGGGAUGCCGUCCGUCGCCUCCUUCUGUGAAGAACUCAUGCUAGAGAAAAAGGUGGCGUACCGCUUGAGAAUUCGAACUUCUCAUCCCAGACGCUUUGUGGAAGACACCAGGGCCACGGACCCCGGGUGUUGAGAGAUGCAGAAAACUCCAUGGGCCCCUAUGGCCAAAGCCUACGGGGAUUUUUUAAGUCACCGUGGCCCUGGUACAGAAAGGCUCAGGAAGUAAAAAAUAUUUUAAAUAUUAGUCACUGAGCUCGAAAUAAAUACAUAAAAUAGAAUUAAUGUCUCCUUUUUGGCGUGCGUCGGGCGUCGGGUAAAAGGUGAAAACGAGAAAGCAUUUAAAGCAAGCAUCAUCCAUUCAUUUCACUCCUAUUCAUUCAUUCAUUCAUUCAUUCAUCACUAUAUAAUAUUCUUUUGACUCAUUGACUCGGUCGCUUGGUUCACAGAGUACUUUUUAUAUUAUGAAAUAGAGGUCCAACUCGACUACCAAACUAAGUAAGACAAGUGGCGCCUUCUGAACGCAGGUUUAAGAAACUAUUUGUCAAUAUAUAUACAUAUAGCUACAUAAAGCAGUGGUUACUGGGUCUAGGUAGAUUUUUGUUUCUUUUUGUUUAAUAUUUAUAAGAUGUUUUUCAAUAAAUAAAACACUGAUAACCUUUAAUAUAA